GUCCUAUGGAUGAUAUUCAACCAGCUGUAAAAAGUGCCUUCACGAAGGCUUCCAAGCAAGGAACUAGUUAUCCGAUCAGCAGAUCAAAUAAAUAUCUCAGGCAGGAAACACAAACUUUAAAACGAGUGGCAACACUCCUGGAGCCAUUUGAUGAGAGUUUGCCUGACAAAAGUGGAGUAGCAUCAGCUAAAAGUGUUGAAGAAGAAGCUUUUGAUGCUGAAAAUGAUGCGAGCGGGAUUGCCAGGUGCAGAAAGAGUUUUACCAAGCAUGGCGGAUGAUGGUGGUGCAGCAAGAUGCCACUAACAUUGAAUUAGGGAUGAGCUACUGAUUAAUAUAUUGGUAUCCCAUUGAUUAAUUAGUGGGGGUAGAUGUUUUCUACAAAGUUCAUUAAUGAUGAACUUUGCCUCAUCCAAGAGUAUGUAAGAUUUUUUUUUGGAAAAUCAGAUGUAUCAUGCAAUUUUUUAAAUGGAAGCAUUGAUGAAACGUCA